rnacentral:miRNA from 4 species
UGGCAGUGUGGUUAGCUGGUUUGU